rnacentral:rRNA from 1 species
GAUGAACGCUAGCGGCAGGCUUAACACAUGCAAGUCGAGGGGCAACACGGGUAGCAAUACCUGGUGGCGACCGGCGCAAGGGUGCGUAACGCGUGAGCAACAUGCCCUAUACAGGGGGAUAAUCCAGGGAAACUUGGUCUAAUAUCCCAUAGUAUUUAGAGGUGGCAUCACCACUAAAUUAAAGCUUCGGUGGUAUAGGAUUGGCUCGCGUGACAUUAGCUGGAUGGUGGGGUAACGGCUCACCAUGGCGAUGAUGUCUAGGGGUUCUGAGAGGAAGACCCCCCACACUGGGACUGAGACACGGCCCAGACUCCUACGGGAGGCAGCAGUGAGGAAUAUUGGUCAAUGGGCGCAAGCCUGAACCAGCCAUCCCGCGUGCAGGAAGACGGCCCUAUGGGUUGUAAACUGCUUUUCCAGGGAGAGAAACUUACGCACGUGUUGCGUGACUGACGGUACCCUGGGAAUAAGCAUCGGCUAACUCCGUGCCAGCAGCCG